rnacentral:rRNA from 1 species
UGGGGAAUUUUGGACAAUGGGCGAAAGCCUGAUCCAGCAAUGCCGCGUGUGUGAAGAAGGCCUUCGGGUUGUAAAGCACUUUUGUCCGGAAAGAAAUCCUUGGCUCUAAUACAGUCGGGGGAUGACGGUACCGGAAGAAUAAGCACCGGCUAACUACGUGCCAGCAGCCGCGGUAAUACGUAGGGUGCAAGCGUUAAUCGGAAUUACUGGGCGUAAAGCGUGCGCAGGCGGUUUGCUAAGACCGAUGUGAAAUCCCCGGGCUCAACCUGGGAACUGCAUUGGUGACUGGCAGGCUAGAGUAUGGCAGAGGGGGGUAGAAUUCCACGUGUAGCAGUGAAAUGCGUAGAGAUGUGGAGGAAUACCGAUGGCGAAGGCAGCCCCCUGGCAAGUACUGACGCUCAUGCACGAAAGCGUGGGGAGCAAACAGGAUUAGAUACCCUGGUAGUCCACGCCCUAAANGAUGUCAACUAGUUGUUGGGGGAUUCAUUUCCUUAGUAACGUAGCUAACGCGUGAAGUUGACCGCCU